rnacentral:rRNA from 2 species
UGGGAAACCUGCCCAGAAGCGGGGGAUAACACCUGGAAACAGAUGCUAAUACCGCAUAACAACUUGGACCGCAUGGUCCGAGCUUGAAAGAUGGCUUCGGCUAUCACUUUUGGAUGGUCCCGCGGCGUAUUAGCUAGAUGGUGGGGUAACGGCUCACCAUGGCAAUGAUACGUAGCCGACCUGAGAGGGUAAUCGGCCACAUUGGGACUGAGACACGGCCCAAACUCCUACGGGAGGCAGCAGUAGGGAAUCUUCCACAAUGGACGAAAGUCUGAUGGAGCAACGCCGCGUGAGUGAAGAAGGGUUUCGGCUCGUAAAACUCUGUUGUUAAAGAAGAACAUAUCUGAGAGUAACUGUUCAGGUAUUGACGGUAUUUAACCAGAAAGCCACGGCUAACUACGUGCCAGCAGCCGCGGUAAUACGUAGGUGGCAAGCGUUGUCCGGAUUUAUUGGGCGUAAAGCGAGCGCAGGCGGUUUUUUAAGUCUGAUGUGAAAGCCUUCGGCUCAACCGAAGAAGUGCAUCGGAAACUGGGAAACUUGAGUGCAGAAGAGGACAGUGGAACUCCAUGUGUAGCGGUGAAAUGCGUAGAUAUAUGGAAGAACACCAGUGGCGAAGGCGGCUGUCUGGUCUGUAACUGACGCUGAGGCUCGAAAGUAUGGGUAGCAAACAGGAUUAGAUACCCUGGUAGUCCAUACCGUAAACGAUGAAUGCUAAGUGUUGGAGGGUUUCCGCCCUUCAGUGCUGCAGCUAACGCAUUAAGCAUUCCGCCUGGGGAGUACGGCCGCAAGGCUGAAACUCAAAGGAAUUGACGGGGGCCCGCACAAGCGGUGGAGCAUGUGGUUUAAUUCGAAGCUACGCGAAGAACCUUACCAGGUCUUGACAUACUAUGCAAAUCUAAGAGAUUAGACGUUCCCUUCGGGGACAUGGAUACAGGUGGUGCAUGGUUGUCGUCAGCUCGUGUCGUGAGAUGUUGGGUUAAGUCCCGCAACGAGCGCAACCCUUAUUAUCAGUUGCCAGCAUUAAGUUGGGCACUCUGGUGAGACUGCCGGUGACAAACCGGAGGAAGGUGGGGAUGACGUCAAAUCAUCAUGCCCCUUAUGACCUGGGCUACACACGUGCUACAAUGGAUGGUACAACGAGUUGCGAACUCGCGAGAGUAAGCUAAUCUCUUAAAGCCAUUCUCAGUUCGGAUUGUAGGCUGCAACUCGCCUACAUGAAGUCGGAAUCGAUAGUAAUCGCGGAUCAGCA